AAGAGGAGCAAAAUAGUCCUUCAUCAGUACUAAAAGCUAUCUUGAAGCUCUUAUUAAACUGCCAGUGCAGAUAGUCUCCACUUCUACUAUUUUGUUACAACACUUUGAAACUAUAAUCUGCACACAGCAAGGAAUGUGAAUGCCUGUGCUACAUCAGUUGUGUAAAAUAGCAUUCAUUUCUUUUUCUAGAGAAGUACUGUUAGCAGUAUUCUAAGUAGUACAUGCUCUCCCAGUUUGAUUAAAGUGCUAUUCUCAAAUGUAAAGCCUCUUUCAGUGUUUCAGUAGGACAGACUGCUCCAGGUAUGAUUUGCAAGUCUUGAACAUGCAUCACCCUGUAUUUUCAAAGUAUUCCUGAGGGAUGGUAGGUCAUAAUAAACAACACUACUUGCUGACAAAUAAAUUCAAGUCAUACUAUAAGAGAAUAUUGUUGAAUACACAGUUCUGACCGACUUAAUAUGGUUUCUGUCUGUUGGAAAUAAUGGUUAAAAAGAUACGGUCAGUUAACAUCUGAAAGUUGAAUGUUUGACUUGUGUAAAAGGAAGUGAUUAAAUAAGUCCUGUAGAAAUAUAUUUAGUUCAUACUUCAUACCUGCAACAGACAAAUUCAAUUCUCCUUCCGCUUGCAAAUACAAAAAUAAUUGUUUCUGAACGUGAAGUAGGAUAGGGUAGCCACAGAGAAGGCUGAGGCUUCAUUCCACCUUUAACAGAAUGUGUCAUGAUUUGACUGAAGUUUACUGAAAGAAGUAGCAAGCAGAAAAGUCAGCUAGCACACAAAUAGACUUGUGCCCUUCAAACUAAUGAGCUUACCAGUGGCAUUCUCUGGAAUUGGUGCUCUUUUGGAAUUGCGAGGAACUUUUAUACCAGUUGUAUGUUGUUGUGCUUAAAGCUGUUGUAUUAACAGAAGUGUAAGAGAAAGCUUCUCUUGGCCUGCCAUGAGGACAUUAUCCAGCAGGUGGAGUUUGACAGGAUGGUGUGCACAGGCCAAGUAGACAAGGCAUUUAUGCCAGGAAAACUCAAUUGUUUGAGUGCUCAUGGAAAAGAAAUGCAAGAGCUGCCUUGGUAUCACUAAAGCAAGUUCACUGAAAAAUAGGACACUUUGAGAAGGACUCAGAAACAGCAUUUGGAAUGGAGAACUCAAACUGCACUGUAGGCCGAACUAAUGCCUGAUAUUUAAGUAUAGGGGAGAUGUGGAGUUCUGAAGCUGAAAUUGAGAAGCCUGGAUCUGACAUGGAAUGUAAAGGAAUGACAAAACUGGAUGCCAAGAGGCAUUUUCAGCAGCAGUAUUGCCAGGACACUGAAGAAACCAGAGAGAAAAGCAGGAAAAUGGGAAAUGUCAAAAGUCUCUACCGUGGUCUCAGGAUCAGAGAGAGGAAGGAUGUUUCAGAGAACAAUCUGAAAGGGAAACGUGAGAUUUGGCAGCAGGUUAGCUAAGGAAGAAAUAGGCAGAAGAAAGUUUGAAAGAAGAGAAAAGCAUCUAACAAAGUUAUAAAUGUAUUUUUAGCUUGUUGGCUGGAAUUGAUAAGGCCCACCUUCAGUUGUACUGCUGGGACUGGAAACUGGGAGUACAGCCAGUGGUAAGAAGAGAUUUAGAUCACCUAAAGACACAUAGGACUUUCGGAAAUGUUGAGAGUAUGUGAUGUCAUUUAGAUGACAGAGACAACAGGCACAGAGCUUCCCUCAAGGCUGCAGGAGAAGGAAUUUUGUCUUUUAUCAGCUUAUUCAAUGAGAUGGAGUUGUGGAAAGAGGAGCUGCUACAUUAAAGAUUCUGUGAAGAUGAGAUUUGGAUUCUGUCAGUGUCUCCUUGGUCAUUUUGAUAAAGCUAGUUUCAGUGAAGGAAAGGGAAAGGUAUGCUGUCUAUUCAAAGGGACUAGAAUUAGUAGAGCAACAGGCAUAACUACUACACAAACCUCUGAAAUCAAAGUUUGGAGAGAGGUUCACAGGAACAGGUUUGGUAGCAAAGAUGAGAGGUGGAA
ensembl:lncRNA